UACCUUUGAGGAUGAAGUGGCACUCAU
rnacentral:misc_RNA from 1 species